rnacentral:rRNA from 1 species
UACGAAGGGGGCUAGCGUUGCUCGGAAUUACUGGGCGUAAAGGGCGCGUAGGCGGUUUGUCCAGUCAGGUGUGAAAUUCCCGGGCUCAACCUGGGGGCUGCACUUGAUACGUAUGGACUGGAGUGGGGAAGAGGGUCGUGGAAUUCCCAGUGUAGAGGUGAAAUUCGUAGAUAUUGGGAAGAACACCGGUGGCGAAGGCGGCGACCUGGUCCUUGACUGACGCUGAGGCGCGAAAGCGUGGGGAGCAAACAGG